rnacentral:rRNA from 1 species
GGCAUCUUUUUGUUUUUAAAAGACCUUCUUACGAAGGUAUGCUUAAAGAGGGGCUUGCGCCACAUUAGUUAGUUGGUAGAGUAAAAGCCUACCAAGACGAUGAUGUGUAGCUGGACUGAGAGGUUGAACAGCCACAUUGGGACUGAGACACGGCCCAAACUCCUACGGGAGGCAGCAGUAGGGAAUUUUCGGCAAUGGAGGAAACUCUGACCGAGCAACGCCGCGUGAACGAUGAAGUAUUUCGGUAUGUAAAGUUCUUUUAUUGAAGAAGAAAAAGUAGUGGAAAAACUAUAUUGACGUUAUUCAAUGAAUAAGCCCCGGCUAACUAUGUGCCAGCAGCCGCGGUAAGACAUAGGGGGCGAGCGUUAUCCGGAAUUAUUGGGCGUAAAGGGUGCGUAGGCUGUUAGAUAAGUCUAUAAUUUAAUUUCAGUGCUUAACGCUGUCUUGUUAUAGAAACUGUCUUGACUAGAGUGAGAUAGAGGCAAGCGGAAUUCCAUGUGUAGCGGUAAAAUGUGUAAAUAUAUGGAGGAACACCAGAAGCGUAGGCGGCUUGCUGGGUCUUUACUGACGCUGAGGCACGAAAGCGUGGGUAGCAAACAGGAUUAGAUACCCUGGUAGUCCACGCCGUAAACGAUGAGUACUAAGUGUCGGGGUAAAACUCGGUACUGAAGUUAACACAUUAAGUACUCCGCCUGAGUAGUACGUACGCAAGUAUGAAACUUAAAGGAAUUGACGGGACUCCGCACAAGCGGUGGAUCAUGUUGUUUAAUUCGAAGAUACACGAAAAAUCUUACCAGGUCUUGACAUACUCUGCAAAGCUAUAGAAAUAUAGUGGAGGUUAUCAGGGAUACAGGUGGUGCAUGGUUGUCGUCAGUUCGUGUCGUGAGAUGUUAGGUUAAGUCCUAAAACGAACGCAACCCUUGUCGUUAAUUGCCAGCACAUAAUGGUGGGGACUUUAACGAGACUGCCAAUUAAACAUUGGAGGAAGGUGAGGAUUACGUCAAAUCAUCAUGCCCCUUAUGAUCUGGGCUACAAACGUGAUACAAUGGCUGUGACAAAGAGUAGCUGAAACGCGAGUUUUUAGCCAAUCUCAAAAAAGCAGUCUCAGUUCGGAUUGAAGUCUGUAACUCGACUUCAUGAAGUUGGAAUCGCUAGUAAUCGCGAAUCAGCAUGUCGCGGUGAAUACGUUCUCGGGGUUUGUACACACCGCCCGUCAAACCACGAAAGUUAGCAAUGCCCGAAAGCAGUAGCUUAACUUCGCAA